AGUUGAAUUGGGCGCAGCCUGACCGCAAUGCCGCGUGAGUGAAGAAGGCCUUCGGGUUGUAAAGCUCUUUUGUCAGGGAAGAAACGGUGGACUCUAAUACAGAUCACUAAUGACGGUACCUGAAGAAUAAGCACCGGCUAACUACGUGCCAGCAGCCGCGGUAAUACGCAGGGUGCAAGCGUUAAUCGGAAUUACUGGGCGUAAAGCGUGCGCAGGCGGUUUGGUAAGACAGAUGUGAAAUCCCUGGGCUCAACCUAGGAAUUGCAUUUGUGACUGCCCGACUAGAGUGUGUCAGAGGGGGGUAGAAUUCCACGUGUAGCAGUGAAAUGGGGAGAGAUGUGGAGGAAUACCGAUGGCGAAGGCAGCCCCCUGGGAUAACACUGACGCUCAUGCACGAAAG
rnacentral:rRNA from 1 species